rnacentral:rRNA from 1 species
AACGAACGCUGGCGGCAUGCCUGACACAUGUAAGUCGAACGAGACCUUCGGGUCUAGUGGCGCACGGGUGCGUAACGCGUGGGAACCUGCCCUUAGGUUCGGAAUAACUCCCCGAAAGGGGUGCUAAUACCGGAUAAUGUCUUCGGACCAAAGAUUUAUCGCCUUUGGAUGGGCCCGCGUUGGAUUAGCUAGUUGGUAGGGUAAAAGCCUACCAAGGCGACGAUCCAUAGCUGGUCUGAGAGGAUGAUCAGCCACACUGGGACUGAGACACGGCCCAGACUCCUACGGGAGGCAGCAGUGGGGAAUAUUGGACAAUGGGCGAAAGCCUGAUCCAGCAAUGCCGCGUGAGUGAUGAAGGCCUUAGGGUUGUAAAGCUCUUUUACCCGGGAUGAUAAUGACAGUACCGGGAGAAUAAGCGCCGGCUAACUCCGUG